GAAACCCAAUAAAUAUUUUAUCUUUCAUAAUUAAUUUUGCUAGCUAAGGAUAGAUUUUAGUGAAUCUAUUAAAAUGAACCUCUAGAAUAAACUCUUACAUGGAGAUAAUGAAUAGUUGCUCUGCCGUAAUUCCUUGCAAGUACCUAGUUUUCAACCUUAUACUCUCCUGAGUUUUAGACAACUAUUUAGAAUGAAGAUUUUGCUCGGAGCCUGAAACUUGUGGGUAAUGAAUGCUUGAUAUAAGUCUAGGUAGUUGACAAAUAUGAUAUAUGAAAGUUUUGAGAUGCUAUUAAUCUUGCUCCUAAAGAUGCUAGAGUUCUGGAGGAUUUUAUUUUAAAAAUCUUAAAUUGCUACAUGAUGAGUUCCUUUAUGACGAGAGUUAGAAUGCCUACCACAGCCAAAUACUCAUGCUUACUAGAUUAGGAAAGCCUUCCACUUAUAUUUCAACCUAUAAGAAUUGAGGGUAGUUAAGCUAUGUAUAGACCCUAAGGAACUAGUCAUGUAGUUAAAGUCAAUAUUAUGUGCUCUCCAUCCAUUGAUCUUUGCUACUUCUAUCCUCAGAAGUAUGCAACCACUUACAUCCACCACAUUCACUGUGUGCUACUUCUGUUCUUGGAAGUACCACCCACAUAUACGUACUAUACUCUGUGCUGUUUCUAUCCUGGAGACACACACCUAUGCUGCUCCUACACUGGGAGUACGCAUUUAUUCAUUCACCCAUCCACAUUCCAUAUCCACUUAGAAAAUGUUCUUCUCCUAUACUAGGAAAAGACACCCAAAAAUAUUCGUUAUAUCUUAUUAUACUUAUCCAAUAAAGCUCUAGAUAUUUCAGUUGAUAAUCCCUAUUGUUAUCAGUGUAUUAAAAGGAUUGACUAAUUAAAAAAAAUGAGAAAAAGAAAGAAAGAGGACAAAAGUCCCAAUGCAAAAGAAAAAGAAAAGACAACCAAGUCCUUGUUCUUAGAUUAGGGAGGCAUGUUAUCCCCAAGGAGCAAUUGUAGAAUUAGAUGUUCACUAUGAGUUAUCACCCC
rnacentral:lncRNA from 1 species